AUUUACUCCUCAGUGUAAGGUGUAAGUGCACACUGCAUGCUAGUGAUGCUAGCACCAGACCAGCAUCGCGAAUCACGACGAAGGAGGCUCUAAAUUCACGUGUUUUUCAUGCACCGGCCUCCGGCCGCCGUAAGUAAUCGUCAGUCUGUGACUCGGUGCGACUUUCGGAAAAGGAGGUGAGAAUCCAGGUAAUGGCGUAUCGCGCGGUGAGUAUCCUUCCGGCGAGCGUCUUUCCGGUCCAGAGUAAAAGCGACGGCGGCAGCAGCCAGCGGCUGAUCGCCGCACACGGUAGCAGCUGAGGUGAAACGCGGCUGAACGCGGCGAGCAGGCGAGCGCCCCGCCACCAUAUUGCGUAAGGACAACCGGCCUGGUGAAGAUGUUCGUCUGCGGUAGAAUCGUCGCCCAACUGCCUGCCAGGCUUAUAUACACAAAUCGUCUCUAUCGACCUGUAAAAUAUGUCGGAGCUGUAAAUAUUAGUAACUUACGCCACAGUAGCGAUGCAAGCAAUAAGAAACCACAGGGCACCACUCUCAGGCCAGAGGAAUGUGUGCCAGAAUCUAGAUAUUCCAAAUCACAAAAAGCAGCUCCUGCCUGCGAAUUGGAAGCAAAUUGUCCGGCAUCUCAGGAAUGCAAACCCAAAGAUAAACCACCGAGUGAAAAAAGUUCGGAUUCUGGUAAAAAUGGGAAAUAUCAAUUCCACUAUUGGCACUUACUUGCUGCCUUGAUUGUAACAGGAGUUGUAUACAAGGUAUCUUCGUCAUUUUUGAAAGAUGACAAAACAGAUCAACAGAAAAGUAAAAAAAAGAAAGAUGGGAAAAGGAGAUUUAGAGACAAAGUAAAAGUUCCUGCAGAAUCAAAAUUAAUACCUGAGGCGGUACCUUAUUUAUUGAUAGGUGGAGGAACAGCUGCAUUUUCAGCAUUUAGGUCAAUUAAAUCUAGAGAUCCCAAAGCUAAGGUUUUAGUUAUCGCGCAAGAGGAAGAGUUCCCAUAUAUGAGGCCACCAUUGUCCAAAGAACUUUGGUACAACACAGAUAGGGAAACAACAGCACAAUUACGUUUUAAUCAAUGGAAUGGAACUCAGAGAAGUAUAUUUUACGAGCCACGUGAAUUUUACUCAAGUGUUACUCAGCUUAAUGAAUCUGAUAAGGGUGGAGUUGCCGUAGCCAUGGGUUGGAAAGUAACAAAAAUUGAUGUUAUAAAUAAAAUUGUGACUCUUGAAGAUGGUUAUGAAAUAAAAUACGAUAAAUGUCUUAUUGCGACUGGUGCAUCACCUAAAAAUCUGUCGAUAUUCGAAUCCGCUGAGGAUGACGUAAAGAACAAGGUUACAACGUUCAGAACGAAGGAUGAAUUUCUCGAUUUGGAAGGAAAUGUUUCUAACUCAAAAUGUAAGAAUAUUGUAGUUAUCGGUGGUGGAUUUCUUGGCUCAGAACUCGCCUGCGCACUCGCUAAAAGUUAUAAAUCUAAAAAUGUUUUCCAAAUAUAUAAAGAAAAGUUUAUAAUGGCACAAGUAUUGCCGGAAUACUUGAGUGAGUGGACUACGAAAAAAGCUGAAGCAGAAGGUGUUCGCACUAUGUCUACCACAGAAGUUCAAGAUUAUAAAUAUAAAAAUGGUCGAUUGUCACUUGUCCUCACUGGCGGUCAGACUAUUGAUGCUGAUCAAGUGAUAGUAGCAGUAGGUGCUCAACCAAAUACAGAUCUGGCAACAACUUCCAAUUUAGAGACAGAACCUAAAAUAGGAGGAUUCCUUGUUAAUGCGGAGUUAGAAGCGAGAAGCAAUCUCUGGGUUGCUGGUGAUGCUGCAUGUUUUUACGACAUUAAACUUGGUAGAAGAAGAGUCGAACAUCAUGAUCAUGCAGUUACCUCUGGAAGAUUAGCAGGCGAAAAUAUGACAGGCGCGGGUAAACCUUACUUGCAUCAAUCGAUGUUUUGGUCAGACUUGGGACCUGAUGUAGGAUAUGAAGCGAUAGGUAUUAUAGAUUCGUCUUUGCCAACUAUUGGAGUUUUUGCGAAAGCGGCGGAAGCAACGCCGGUUAAUCUUAGUGAUGAACAAAAGACAAAUUCUGAGAAAUCACAAUCUAAUAAAAAAACGGUGUCACAAAUUGUAAAAAGUGUUGAUAACACGGAACAAGAAAAGAAAGAAAUAUCUAAAGAUAACGUAAAGUCUGAACAACCUACAAAGUGCGAAGAUUUUGGAAAAGGCGUUGUUUUUUAUUUACGAGAUGAUGUUGUAGUAGGAAUAGUGCUGUGGAAUAUCUUCAAUCGAAUGUCGAUUGCCAGACGGGUUCUUGCAGGAAAUACGAAAUAUGAUGAUUUAAAUGAAGUAGCAAAACUAUUUACAAUACAUGAAGAUUGAUUAUUUGAUUAAGAAAUAACAGAGUGAAUGACAAUAUUAAGAGAUUAUUGCACUGUACAUGUAAAAAGAUAUCUGACCUUUGUGUGUGGUGGGAUAUUAUCAUUGGAAAAGCUUCAAGCAAAAGCUCGCACAUCGUUGAAUUUUGCAGCAGCUCUUCCUGGCAGAAUUGCAAAAGUGACACGGAAUAGUACACCAUAUAAUCGGACGGGUACAAAAUACAAAUUGCAAAGAAAUGAACUAUUUCGCUCCAUGGAAGAAUUCCCCAGAAGCAUUGCGUUAACAUUCUAUUGAAUAUCAUCCACCAGUCGAUAUCGAAGACAUCCUUUUUGUGUAAAAAUCGGGACGUUACAACAUACUUUACAGUAUAUUUAGGUAACUAAAUUCUUUAAAUGAUAAAAUUUAAUCACCUUUAAUCCAUAUUUGAUGUUUGGAAGCUCGAUGUUGACCAUGGUUUCUAAAACUUGCAUAAAAGUGAACUGCGAACUGGUGCCUUCGUUAUUUUUUUCAUCGAUAACUUUGCCCAAUUUCGGCCAAAGAAGCAGUGUCGAUGGAAAUUGAACUAAUUGCAUGAUAAAAGUCUUGCAUCUAUAAUCAGUUAUUUAACAUAUAAUAAUUAGCAUAUUAUUCAAUAAUAUACUGUAAGAAUAUACAGUCGUAAAGUUGAUUAGAUAUUGAUAGGCGAUCGGAAUGAUUCUGAGAGAAGUAGAGUCAUGGGGCACGAUUCUUAGCUCUUGAGCGCAAGGAGUGAGAACGAAGGAUCCCGACGUUAAAUUUUAAUUGACUUAAAUUAAUUUUUAAUUUAAGUUAAUUUUUUUGUUGCUUUUACACAAUUAAACAUACUAAUAUUAAAUAUAUACUAAUGUAAAAUAUUAAGGAUUGUAAGGCCGUUAGGAAUUGAUAGGCAAGUAGAAUGGUUCAAAGAGCGAUUUGGAGCGUUUUGGAGUAAUAAUGAGAGUGCUAGUUGUCAAAAUAAAGGAUUCCGAGUUCAAAUCCUGAUCAGCUCUUAAUUUUUCCGUCACUUACAUUAAUGUAAUAGCAUAUCAUAUAUCUGGUCAAUGAUGAGAAAGAAAUAUCGAGACAGGUUGAUGAUAAAAAAAAAACGUUGACCUGGUGAGAACUAAGUUUUCAAUCUGAGACCUGCCAAUGAUGAUAUUUGACUAGCUUGAGUUAAUCACUAUUGAUAACCGUUUAAACUGCUUGUUUAAUCUGUUUUAUUUCUUUGUGGUUUAAAUACCGCGAAUGAGAUAAUGGACAUAUUCAAGCUAACAAAGCAGCUAGUCUGCUCAAGGAGUAAGCUAGCAGUUUUGACUGGCUAGAAUAUGGCUACUGAUAAACAAGUUUAUUAUCUGCCACUAAUAUGUGACCAUAUCGGAAAUUAAAUUGGCUGUCAAGAUUAAUUCGCAGUCAACUGAGGCUCUUAUUUUGUGCUAAAUUAUUUACUUUUUACACUAAUGAAUGAAUUAUUUGAAAUUAAAUAUGUCAAGUUACAUACUUAUCCAAAUUUCCAUCACAGAUAAUGAACACCGUUGCCAAGAACCAAUCAAAACCUUCAAACCUGCUCGGUUUAUUGUACUGUAUAAAUAUGUAGGCAGAAUGAAUGAAUUGUUUCAAACUCUUUUGGCUGUCGCUAGUAUUUUUUAAAAUCUCUCGUUGUUCGGCGUAAUUUAAAACAAUGUUAAUAGCGUGUAUGUCUUCUGGUAGCCAAUAGUCCGUGUCAUACGUUAUGUUCUCCUGCCAUUUAAAUUGCUCCACCCAUUCCGCAGUUGGAAUAGCUUUGUGCAUUUGAUUCAAUAAAUUUGUCAUCAUUGAAUUCUAAGAUAAAAAUAUUUUGUUAAUUUCUAAAUCAUAAUUAUAUUCUAAAUUAUAAUAAAUUAAAAACCCAAAAUAAAUAAAAAUAGGCUAUUAAGGAGUAUAUUCGCAAGUAUAUACUAUAUAAUAUAUCCACAUUAAGUAAAGACAUUUUUAUUAACUUACUUGCGCACUAAUACUCGUGCUAGACUUUUAAUAGCCCGUGUAUUUAUUUUGGUUUUUGAAUAUAAGGGUCAUUAUUUUUGUUUCAUAAUUAAAUAAUUGCAUGUUAAAUUUAUUUUUAUAAAACCACCUUAAUUGGGCCUCGCGAGGCUUUAUGAGCCUCUCUAACUUGCGCAACCCAACUAAUGUCUAGCAGUCCGGGUCUUUCCUCCUGCAACAUAUCACUUAAUUCCGAAUCGUAUUCAAUUUCUCGAAAGUCUAUCAUAUCUGCAUAUAUUCGGGGAGGUGGAAAUUCUGAGAAAAGUUCAUAUUCCUCCAACGGUAACAUAUAUUGUUUCUUUUUAUAUGUCAUGUAAUAUGAUUUUAAUAAAAUAUUAUGUCGCAAGAAA